CUCAAACUGGGAUUAGAUACCCCACUAUUUUUAGUUGUAAAUUUAGUUUAAGCUUACCAGAGUACUACGAAUAAAAAAGUUUAAAACUCAAAGGGCUUGGCGGUGUUUUAGACCUCUCAGGGGAACCUGUCUCGUAAUCGACAGUCCGCGUUAAACCUAACCUUUUAUAGCAAUACAGCUUGUAUACCGUCGUCGUCAGGUAACUUCUUAAAAUAUAGUAGUUAGCCCGAGAAUCAAGUUAAUUAGGACGUCAGAUCAAGGUGCAGCCAAUAAAGAGGUGAGGAUGGGUUACAAUUACAUAUUUGUAAAUACGGAAAAUAUUUGAAAUAUAGUAUCAUAAAGGAGGACUUGAAAGUAAUUUUAGUUAUAUGGAUAAAAUGAAUAUGGCUCUGAAACGUGCACACACCGCCCGUCACCCUCUGCAGUCAA
rnacentral:rRNA from 1 species